CAACUUGGAAAGGAAUCCAAGCUGCAGAGGAGAACACAGUUCCCUGACACCUCGACUGUGGUGGUGGCCCUGUGAGAUUCCGGGUAGAGGACCCAGAUUUAAAGCACAAUCCAUAUUCUGGAAACUUGCAAACCUCUGCUACUGAGAGAGAACAAUUCUCUGCCCUUGGAUGGAGAAGGUCUUCUUGGAUAAAGGUUCUAUGAUGAUCCUCUUUUCAAAAGGUGGAGCCUAAUUUCUCUCCUCUUGAACAUGAGCUGGACUUAGUGAUGCACUUCUAAUGAAUAAAAUGUGGCGGAAGUAAUGGGGUAUGACUUCCAGGACAAAGUCCUAAAAGGCAUUGUGGAUUCCUCCUUGCUUUCUUUUGGAUCCUUUAUCCUGGAGGAAGCCAGCUGUCAUGUCAUGAGUUUGUUCAAGCAGCCCCUCUGCAAAACACAGGUGGUAAGGAACUGAGGUCUCUUUGCAACAGACGUUACUAACUGGCCAACAAUAUAAACAAACAUAAAAGUAAAUCCUGCAGCCCCAGUCAGACCCAAAGAUGGCUGCAGCCUUUCUCAAAAUCUUGACUGCAAACUGAGAAGAAGUCUUGAGCCAGAACCACUCAGCUAA